GUCAAGGUCAACUGUAUCCCACCCACAUGCUGGGGGUUUUCUCCACUAUCUAUCUGGAGAUGAUGCACAAAUUGGGGGAGUGGUAAAUAAUGAAGAGGACAGGUCACUGUUACAGAGCAGUCUGGAUCAGUAGAUACUUGAGGCACUACAGUCGUAUAAAGGCCCCAGGGAGGAUUGGAGACCCAGUGUGUUGGGCAUGGCACAUAAAUAAAAGCCUGCCAUGGGAGACGUAAAAUCUAAGGCCAUUCAGAAAAGGAAUAUGCUGCUGGAACAGCCCUGCCUACCAAUAAUGAUGAUAAAGGAUCUGAAGGUAAAGUUGGCAUUAAGAUGUGAGUUGGUAAAACAUUUCACUAAAAAUAUCUCAUCUUUAAA